UACGUAGGUGGCAAGCGUUGUCCGGAUUUAUUGGGCGUAAAGAGCUCGUAGGCGGUUUGUCGCGUCGGAUGUGAAAACCCAGGGCUCAACCCUGGGCCUGCAUUCGAUACGGGCAGACUAGAGUAUGGCAGGGGAGACUGGAAUUCCUGGUGUAGCGGUGAAAUGCGCAGAUAUCAGGAGGAACACCGGUGGCGAAGGCGGGUCUCUGGGCCAAAACUGACGCUGAGGAGCGAAAGCGUGGGGAGCGAACAGG
rnacentral:rRNA from 1 species